UACAGAGACUGCAAGCGUUAUUCGGAUUCACUGGGCGUAAAGGGUGCGCAGGCGGCCGUGUGUGUGAGGCGUGAAAGCCCGAUGCUUAACAUCGGAAUUGCACCUCAAACUACACGGCUAGAGCAUUGGAGAGGGUAGCGGAAUUCACGGUGUAGCAGUGAAAUGCGUAGAUAUCGUGAGGAACACCAGAGGCGAAGGCGGCUACGUGGACAAAAGCUGACGAUCAGGCACGAAAGCGUGGGGAGCAAAAGGG
rnacentral:rRNA from 1 species